rnacentral:lncRNA from 1 species
CCCGCCCCGUCCGCGCAGCUCGUCCGGCCCGCCCGCAGGCCAGCUUCUCUCGGGAGCCUCCACCCAGGCGCAUGGCUCCAUGAAGCAAGAGGAGGAGGCAGAGCGCGAGAGAUCCCGUCCGCCCCAGCCGCGUCUGGGCCAGGAGAAAAGCAAAACCAUAUUCCUGCUGCUGUCAGUUUUGAUGCACUGAGAAAACUUCAGAGACCUAAGCUUUUUCCAGAGAAGAGAAGCUUUACUGGUGUUCCAGCCCUAAGAAACUUAAAUCCUCAGUGUGACACAACUCAGUCCUUCUACUGCAGCAGCUCUUUUAUAAAAGCCUCCCAAAGCUCCAAGAAGGAACAAAGAAUGUGACCCAGUAAGCUCACACCAUAAGUCUAUAUUGCAGAAACCUUUGUUCAACAAAACUGCAGAUGCUCUGUUGAAUCCACUGGAGAUUGUCCUGAUACUAAGGACAAGUAUGCUCAUAUGACAUUAACAGACAAGACACUUUUCAGAAAGACAGGUUGUUCUUUUGGGCCACAUCUAAGAAAUCUUUGUCUAGCCAAAAGCCACAAAUAAUUUCUCAUUUUUUGGCUUCUGGAAGAUGUACAGUUAAAUGUUAUAUUUGGGACUGUUAUCUAAUUUGAUUAAAUUGCACUCUACAAUAUGAUAUUUGAAUUGAUGAAAAAUUAGUAAAUGUUAAUAUUUUUUAAAGUAGCCAAAUCUUGCAAUUUAUAUAUAAUAGAGAAGACUAGAAAAUCCCCCAUAUUUAUUUCCUCUUACUUCGUACUACUAAAAUUUGUAUUUAGGCAUUUGGUUUCUCAGAUAAACAUUACAUUCCCCAGUAUAUGGUUCUAUCUGGCUUGGUGACGACAUGUUGAACAUUAAGAUGUGAGCAGAAGUAAUACAUACACACUCUUUUUAAUGUCUUUAAUUGAAUGGGAUAUUGGCCCAUUUUUUCUUCCAGUUUAUUACACUGAAUAUUGACAUGUUAUUUUCCAAUAUUGAGACAAUCAAUGACAAGACUUUAAGAGUAACAAUGUAAAAAUUAUAGAAGUUGUCUGAGUUUAUCAACAAUCCCCUGGAUUAGAACCCCCUACCAGUUCUAGGUCAUCUAAUAUAUAGACAUUGUGUUCAGUAGAAAUAAAUAUAUAUAUUUUUUAAUAUACUUUAAGUUCUAGGAUACAUGUGCACAACAUGCAGGUUUGUUACAUUGGUAUACACAUGCCAUGUUGGUUUGCUGCACCCAUUAACUCAUCAUUUACAUUAGUUAUUUCUCCUAAUGCUAUCCCUCCCCCUGCCCCCCACCCCCCGACAGGCCCUGGGGUGUGAUGUUCCCCACCCUGUGUCCAAGUGUUCUCAUUGCUCAAUUCCCACCUAUGGGAAUACAUUUUUAAAUCAUUUUUAAAGGUGUUAUUACAUUCUGAUUGAACAUUUUCAGAAAGAAUAAAUAAUUUAAUACAAGAA